AACAAUCAGGAACUACAUAUUUGUCAUGUUUGAGUCACAAAAAAGGAAAACAUUUAUUUUUUAAUAAUACAUGCAACGUCUUCUCCGAUUGGCAUAAUGGUAGCGAACGGAGCAUAACCCACAAUGUUUACCUUGAUACCCAUACAGAUUAUGCCACCAGACCGGAGCUAAAGCUGAGCAAACGCAACCGAAGCCCGUAACUGAAAGCUAAACCUGCCAGAUCUCAUACAUAUAAACAUGCGAUUGUGCGGGCAGAGCCAUACAGAUGUAAAUGUUUAUGUUUCCUGUCCAACGCGAGGGUCCGGGGAGAGCGGGAGUUGACUGGGUUAUCUUGGCGAACUGCUGGCACAGUUUGGAGUGGAAUGGAGAUAGUGUAGAAAAGAGAACGAGAGAGAGAGAGGGCAAAGGAUAGAGAGAGCGAGAGCAGUGAGAAGAAAGACGCACAACACAUGGACGCUUGGGAGUGGAGAAUUUGUGCAAUAUUUUUAAUAUUUAUAUGGCAACCACACAAGCACACAAAUCAUCAGCAGGCGACGGCAGCAGAGCAACACGACCAAGAAAAGGAUCCAUGCGAACAAAAAAAUUCCUGUAAAUAAUAAAUUUCUGCACGCUACAGCAGCAGCAGCAGCAACAACAACAAUAAAACAACAAGAGCAGCAGCGAAAAGCGCGGAAUUAUAAACCGUGGAAAACUAUUACCCCAAGGAUGCUCAAAUCCAAAUACAUACACACAGAUACACACACGAGCACACACAGAUGCAACGAUACAAAUACGGUUACGUGCUUGGCGGAAUAUUGCAAAAAUAUUGCAACAACAAAGAUGCAAACAGAAGCAAAUGAUUAACGACGUGAACUCACUCGAAGCCCCGAUACCCUUCAAAAGAAUAUAUUAGAGAUAAACUUGAGCAACGCGGCUUAGAAAGGAGAAAAGCAAACGAGAAGCAAAGUAAGAAUCGCAGAGAAAAGCACAAGUACGAUAAGUAAAGCAAGCAAAAUAUUGUAAAGCACAGCGGGAAGAAAAGAAAAUCGAGAGGAAAAGUGAACCAAAGGGAGAAGCGAAAAACAAAGUGAGAAGCAUUGCGAAAAAAAUGUGAAAUUCAUAUCGAGAAUAAAGGAAACAAUCAAACCGAGAAGCAAAGCGAGAAGCAGCACAACAGUCCCUUUCAACAGAUGUUCCAUCUGAAGCUAAUAACCAAGCUUAUCACGAUGAUUGGCUAGCGAACAGGAUGCUCUUUUUAAUAUACCCUACAAUUGCAUGUAAGUAGCGUUACAUUGAGGGACUUUCAGUUUUUUCUCGCCAAUAUUCCCGCUGAUGAACUUUUAUGUUGGUUACAAAUACAAAAAAAAAGUGAA